rnacentral:rRNA from 1 species
ACGCUGGCGGCAUGCCUAACACAUGCAAGUCGAACGAGACCUUCGGGUCUAGUGGCGCACGGGUGCGUAACGCGUGGGAACCUGCCUUUAGGUUCGGAAUAACUCAGAGAAAUUUGAGCUAAUACCAUAUAAUGUCUUCGGACCAAAGAUUUAUCGCCCUGAGAUAAGCCCGCGUAGGAUUAGCUAGUUGGUGAGGUAAAGGCUCACCAAGGCGACGAUCCUUAGCUGGUCUGAGAGGAUGAUCAGCCACACUGGGACUGAGACACGGCCCAGACUCCUACGGGAGGCAGCAGUGGGGAAUAUUGGACAAUGGGCGAAAGCCUGAUCCAGCAAUGCCGCGUGAGUGAUGAAGGCCUUCGGGUUGUAAAGCUCUUUUACUCGGGACGAUAAUGACGGUACCGAGAGAAUAAGCCCCGGCUAACUCCGUG